UUUAAAAUCAAAUAAAUGCAGGCUUGGUGAGCAGAAGAGAAUUCUUUAAAAUCUUUUAAAUAUAUAUAUAUAUAUAUAUAUAUAUAUAUAUAUAUAUAUAUAUACACACACUUAAAAAAUAUAUGGUAGUUUUCUUUUGUGAUAGUAAUGUAAAAUGACUGUUUUAUAAAUUGUAAAGUAUUCCAAUGUUUUCCCUUCUAAAGAUCCUCUUGGAAAUAAUAAUUCUAUGCAGACACAGAAGAGCAAAAAUUAUGUCACAAUGAUCACUUCUUAGACGUCGACCCUCCAGAUCACAGCAGAUUGUGGAGACUGUCAUUGUUUUGCUGUAAAGUUCUGCUCUGUUUGGGUGAGAUGCAACAAGCUGAGAAGCUGCUACUGCAAGCAGAUCAAAUUUUAAAGGUAAAAAUAAUUAACGACACUGAUAUUUUGAUAUAUGAUUAGUUCUAAUAAUUGACUGAAAUUGCAUGCAUUCAAAAAAUGAUCAUAUGCAAGGUUUCAUUCACUUAUAAUCUGUUUUGAUGGUUUCCUCCACAGGAAGUGGAGCUAGAUAGUGACAGUAUGAGGUUACUGCUCAAAGUGCCACAUAUGCUGGCAGAGCUUUACCUCCAAAUGCAUCUGCCAAAAGACAGAGAUGUAUUGCCACAAGGGACUUGAGACAGCCCGGUCUUUUGCAGUAGCCCACCUUGCCAGCUCAGAGGUCAGACUGAUAGUUGGUAAAGUGUUGCUGUGUAGCUGCAGUAGAGUGGACAGGAGAGAAGGGCAGGAUCUGCUCCAGAAAGCUGCAGACAUAAGGAUUCACCUCCUGGGCCCUGAGCACCCACUGACCCGAGACCUGGAGCCGUGAGCUCGGUUUCACUAUGAUAUUGUAUUGUAAUCACACAGAUGCCCGCUAAAUUCAUUUUAAUCUGAUCUCUUCUGCAAUGUUUCAAACCCUGAUAUUUCAGGAAAGAGGAAGCAUGGUCUAGAGGUCAUCGGGUCCACCUCAAACAAUAAACUGUCAGUAGGUAGGUCUACA
ensembl:lncRNA